CACCGCGGAUCCUAGCUGUCCUUGGGACGCCAUCAACAGGUUUGAUUAGUUUCUGUAUGUAGAUAGGGUGCUUGAUAAUUUUUCUAAUUGAAAAUUGUGCUCUUUUUCGAUUCAAUACCACAACAUAGCAUCUCUAUAAAUUAAGAUUUGGCUGCUACUGGUAUGUGUAUUAUGAACUUUUGCUAAUUUUUGUUGUGUACUGUCCAGGUGUUGUAUAAUGCUGUUACUUGCUGGUGAUGUUGUUUCUGUGCUGCCUAUGGAGUGACAAUAACGACAUUCAAUUAUGAUGCGUUUGACCGUAACACAAAGAUUAAGGAAAUUAAUUACCAUUUGUCGAUUGACGACUUGAAAAGAAGCAUGGAGGCAACAAAUGGGGUAUUAUUUUGAUCUCAUCUCACACAUUCAAUUACUCUUUGUCCUACUAUAUGGCUUUUUAUUAGUUAUUUACACAUACUCGAUGCAUUGCAAAAUGUCUGUUUCUGGAAAUCGCCAUAUCCCGUAUCCCCGCAACCGUAUUGUCGUAUUUGUCGCUCUAUCAGUGCUUCAUUGGUCUAGGUAAAAAUGUGUAGAUUUCCUUUAUUUUGCGCAUAUUCUCUUCAAUCAGUGUUGUUACUUUUUGUGCUUGGUGUUUUAUUCCAGCCAGAUGCAAGCGGCAAAAGGCGACUGGGAUUAACCAUCGAUGCUGGUUUUCAUAUCCAAAUACCGGUCUUUGUUGGUAUGUACAUGAGAUGGGGGAAAUCAUGCCUUAAGAGAGCCAGAUGCGGAAG
rnacentral:lncRNA from 1 species